rnacentral:rRNA from 1 species
AUGCAAGUCGAAGAAGGAUUGGCCGGUGCUGCCGACUGGCAUCAAGUUCGAUCCCACGGAUUAGGAGCUGGUCGAGCACCUUCAGGCCAAAGUAUCACAGUGAGUGGCCUAAGCAAGCAUUUCUUCCAGCGCAAUUCCAGGGCAUUCAAAAGGGGCACGUGGACGCGUCGCAAGAUACAGUUGGAGUGCGGCAUGCACGCGAUGUGGCACAACACCGGCAAUACCUUGCCGGUGAUGGUCAACGGCUGGCAGACGGGCAGCAAAAAGGUUCUGGUGCUGCACACUAACAAGAACUUCGACCAGCAGAGGACCAACUGGGUGAUGCACCAGUACUACCUCGAGGACCUGGAGCAAGAGAAGGAGCGGGAUCUGGUCCUCUGCAAGAUUUUCUACCAGACGAACACUAGGGACAGGAGUAAAAAGAUUAUAAGUCGAUCAAGUUUCAACUGGGUUGUAGACUGCCCAGGCUUGGUUUUGUUUUUAACAGGCCCAGCCCAUGACGACAACGGGGCACAAAGAUCCAGCAGGUAUCUACUGGCCUCUGGCCAGCGUUAG